GGUUUGUGGCUCAGUGGUAGAAUGCUUACCUAGCAUGCACAAGUAACUGGGUUCGAUCCUCAGCGCCA
rnacentral:tRNA from 1 species